rnacentral:tRNA from 1 species
GCCAAUAUGGUGUAGUGGUUUGGACGUUGGACUAAGACUCUGGAGACCAGGGUUCAAAUCCCUGCUCAGCUA